ensembl:snRNA predicted gene, 26402
GUGGUCUGUUCCCACUUCAGCAUCAUAUACACUAAAAUUGGAUCAAUAUAGAAAGAUUAACACUGCCCUUGCUUAAGGAUGACUGGUAAAUUCAUGAAACAUUCCAUAAGUAUAUGUGUGUGUGUGUGUGUGU